rnacentral:rRNA from 1 species
UUGCAGGCUGAAAUUACGCCUGCAUGAAGCCGGAAUUGCUAGUAAUGGCAGGUCAGCAUACUGCCGUGAAUACGUUCCCGGGCCUUGUACACACCGCCCGUCACACCAUGAGAGUUGGGGAUACCCAAAGCCCGUGAGCCAACAUUAAAUGAGGCAGCGGUCUAAGGUAGAAUCAAUGAUUGGGGUGAAGUCGUAACAAGGUAAC